AGAGUUUGAUCCUGGCUCAGAACGAACGCUGGCGGCGUGGCUAAGACAUGCAAGUCGUACGGACCGCGGUAGCAAUAUUGCGGUUAGUGGCGAAAGGGUGAGUAAUUCAUGGGUAACGUACCCUGAACUCGGGGAUAACAGCGGGAGCAAUCCCUUUAGCGAAAGUGCUGCUAAUACCCGAUGAAGUCGCCGGGUCGCAUGACCGGGCGACCAAAGGUGGGGACCGCAAGGCCUGCCGGUUUGGGAGCGGCCCAUGUCCUAUCAGCUAGUUGGUGAGGUAACGGCUUACCAAGGCUAUGACGGGUAGCCGGACUGAGAGGUCGAUCGGCCACAUCGGGACUGAGACACUGCCCGGACACCUACGGGUGGCUGCAGUAACGAAUAUUGGGCAAUGGGCGCAAGCCUGACCCAGCGACGCCGCGUGCAGGAGGAAGUCCUUCGGGAUGUAAACUGCUGUCAGGGGCUAGCAAGCAAAGGGUGUUAACAGCAUCCGGCGUUGAGCCGCCCCAGAGGAAGCCUCGACUAACUCUGUGCCAGCAGUCGCGGUAAGACAGAGGAGGCAAGCGUUGUUCGGAAUCACUGGGCUUAAAGCGCGUGUAGGCGGCGGCGCAAGUGUCGUGUGAAAUCCCACGGCUCAACCGUGGAACUGCACGGCAAACUACGUCGCUUGAGGUUGGUAGAGGUGCCUGGAACUCUCGGUGGAGCGGUGAAAUGCGUUGAUAUCGAGAGGAACGCCGGAAGCGAAAGCGAGGCACUGGGCCGAUUCUGACGCUGAGACGCGAAAGCGUGGGGAGCAAACAGGAUUAGAUACCCUGGUAGUCCACGCUGUAAACGAUGC
rnacentral:rRNA from 1 species